rnacentral:lncRNA from 1 species
UGGAAACUUCAGUGUCAUACCUGUUGAGGGGAUCUUGUUGGACGCGUUUUGGCGGAGGGGAACUCAUCAAGUGGGAGAAAACGUUCGUAAAUUCGGAGGAAAGUGAUCGGAAGGUUUUCAUUGUCAGAAGAACUCGGGCUGCUCCCUUGUUAAUUGUUCCAAGUGCAUGGAAAAAUUGGGCUCUUUCGAACCCGCAUUACCCGAAGGGAAAGAAUCAGGCUCGAGGUGACUAUCUUACUUGGGCGAUGGGACGAAAAAUGAUCGAAAACGCUGCGAUUUUUGAAGAGGAGGGAAUUCGAACCUCGAUUCUUGCGUACGUGCCAAUGAGGCGUCGAGAAAAAACACUCUCGAGACUAUUUUGACCUGCUCCGGGGCAACGAUUCGCUCUUGUUUCAAGAGGAAGCUUCGACAAGUUUAAGCAACGAGCCAGCGGAAAGAGUUACGACGAGAUGCGGGGCGCGCCCAACCGGGCGAAGGACCAGAAAUCAUUCUGACCAUUUACGUCCAUCUCAAUUUGUAUUAACCGCAUUUUUCUCCCGCCCCUCUUCCUCCCUGCGCCACUCCACGUCUUUCGUUAACACUCAACACAAUCGAAACGACCAACGAGCAAAUUAGUAAGAACAAUCUCGUGACCGAGUCCCAUGCAGCGUCCAAUUAUCCCUCUCGACUUCUUGACUUGGAUGAAAAAUCGUGCGGACGAAAAUAACGUAAAGCUCGUUCAACGGAACUUUGCGGACGUAUAUAUUUCAUCGGUUUUUCCAUGUUGGGAUCGAUGAGCUUCGAAAAUUGUUCAACUUUCCUCGUGUGACAACUCUUCACAAAAGUUUUCAUCGCUUCCGUAAAAACCUUCGGUUCUCGUCGUGGCGAUUGAGCCAUCACGAAAAAUGAAGGAAAUUACGAGCUCAAAAUAUAUUUUUUGCAAAGCCUCCAUAUUACACGAAGUUUGAAAAUCCCAAGAAAAUGAGAAAAACAACCGAAGCCAAGUGCAUUCGUCGCCGGCUGCGUUCGCACCCGGAAAUCAUUGAUGGGUUGUUGCAAAAUGUUGUGAGACGAGGAUCCGCGAUUGCAGGGAAAAUGAAAAUCGUGCGUUCGGAACGUCGAGGAACGAGGACGUCCUAACGAGUCCCCGACGCGUUUCAAGGUUAAAACUUCCUUUUGGAGAAACGAAGUCGAGCGGCGCGCAGGUGGAUAACUCGAGACGUUUAUUUUUCGCUCGGUUUAUCAUAUCGAGUGAAGCUCGCAGCACACUGACGAAGGUGGACGCCACGGGGAGAGGCCAAGGCGGGGGGGAGGAGCGAGUGGGAAAGGGGAUCCAAGAGACAAAUGACGGAGAGAGAACGAGCCAAGAAAAUUGAGCCGGGAGGGAGGGCAAGGAAAUUUUUGAAGGAAGCGAUGCUCGUAGGUCACGCUCCGAGUAACCGCGAGACUGACGAGCAGAAUGGAAAGAGAAAAAAAAUGGUUACGGGGAACGGAGAAAACGGAAUGCAGAAGACGAGUGAAACGUACGCGCACGGAGAACGACGACGAAGAUCGAGGGAAAAGAAAAAAGGGAAGAAGGAGGAAAUGAGAGACUGCAGAAGGGGCCAGAAAUACUGAGACAAAUACUUGUACACGAGUCGAACAAAUACCACUUAAACUUCGUCAAGAGUAUUGCAAAUAAAAUGAACGUAUAAACGGGAUACGGAAGGAUGAAUUAUCGUGUGUAUAUUGCGGAUAAAAAACGCAUGUUCUUUGAUGGACGAAAAACGAAGACGAGGGAGGCAUGACGAUGAGAGACGUCCUUGAAAAAAAGCUAACGCGCUCCAUUGCGUUUGAACUGGGAGGAACAGUCUGUGCUCCUUGGCCGAGUGUAAUUCUCGAGUUUCGAGUCGUUCAACGCUCACUCUAAGUUUUCGUUGAAAUAAAUAUUCUUUUUCAGCAUAUAUUUUGAAGUGUUUUUUCGAUAUGGAGCCAGUCGAAAAGUUUUCUUCUUCGCUAUUUUGAGUUUCUUGAAAAAUAUUUACAUUUUGGGGGGGUUUUGGGAAGCUGACGGAAAAAGCGAGCGACGAAAUUUGCGGGUUUUUAACUCAGAAAUUGGAUAUUUUUGGGCUCUCGCUGCGUCCGCUGAUUCUUCGACUGGUUCUCCACUCACUCGCUGCGUCGGGAACAGCUCGAUCGUGAUGUUUUCAGAAGUGGACGAAAGGUUCGUGCACAUCGACGGGUUUUCGGAUCUUUUUGACCCCCGAGAAACGAGGAAUGGCGAAUCCACUGAAGACAGUUUGCGCCCGACAACGGACAAUUGUUGCCGCUCCUUCAUCGGCAAAUUCCCAAAAUUCUCGUUGCUCGCUCGGCCCCAAAAUCGUGAGGAAAUCGGCGGAGAAUUUCGCCAUAAAAUUAUUUGAGUGGGCAAUCCAUCGAAAAGCUGCGUUCGAAGCAGCGCAGUCGGGAAAGAAAAUGUGGAGAAUCGGAUAAACAAAAGCUCGAGAAACUUGGCUUUACCGAAAAGUAAAUUUCGUCGAGUAUUGCCGAAUUCCGAGAAAAUUCUACAGCGUCAUUGUACCAGUGAGGACGAUGGGGAACGAUGGUUACGGAGGCCGAGCAACCUCUGCGCUGAGUGCAAGAAAGCCACGGGAGUUUUACAGCGGUGUAUUCCCGGCUCAAAAUCUCGAUUCAACUUCGUCUGGGAAAAAUCAAUCACCUCGAAGCAGAGUCGACCAAUUUUUCAACGGGGGAAAUACCCUCGCAGACAGUUUUCCAAGUCAAAAAAACUCAGGAAAAAACUAGAUUACGUGGACCUGAAUGAGGAUUGUGGGGACUGAGAAAAAUCAUGACGCUGAAGUUUCCAACGUUGGAGUCCAACGAAAUAAUCUAAAAAAACUCUCAAAUUAUUCCAGUGAAUCUCCAAUCUUGUUCCCUGCCGAAUUUCCAAUUCGUCAUCU